CUAGUUCCGGCAAUAGCCGAAAAGCAUAGAUCUGUACUUUGGUAAAUAAUGGAGGAGUCUCUAUUCAUUUCUAUACUGUGGGCCACAAGUUGUUAAAUGGCUAUUGGUCAGUGCUAUAGUCAGCAGUUGCAACAAUACAACACAAUGUGGCUCCCUUAUUACAUUUGCUCACAGGCAGACCCGGCAAAGUCAAAUCUGUAGGUGGCGCAGCUGAAGACACUGCUCCAGACGCUUGUGAGUCUGCUCAGCAUUUAGUUCCAACUCGUGCUGCUUCUCAUGGAGGAACUCCAGCAAUUCCUGCACCUGAGUCGCUAGGUCAAUGUCCUUCUCACAGAUCAGUUCGAUUCCUGUGGGAUAUAUGAGGCUGUUAUGCACUUGAAUUGAUGGAGCAACUUGAAUCUUUGGAAAUGUAUGAGACCCGGGAGCUUUAAUGCAAAGACUGCUGUAGCUUGGGAAAUCUAAAUAAUUUUGGCAAAGCUAGUGAGAAAAUAGUUUUAGGGCCUCCCAUCUUUGAAACUUUGUACAUUUAUACUGAGAUUGUGAAAAAAUGCAUGUAGGGACACACGAGUGGAGCCAAAAACGAAUGGAGACAAAAAGAGGAUAGACAUCAAGGACUGAUGUGUACAGAUGAAAAGAAAUAGAACAAUGAAAAGGAUACACAUGAAAAGUAGAUACAUGGAGAGGAGAUACAUAAAAAGCAGAAACAUGGAGAGUAGAUACAAGGCAAUAAGAUACUAAGAGAGGGGAGACCCAGAUAAAAAGGAGAUACAUGGAGAGGAGGAAGAAGAGACAUAUGAAAAGGUGGCAUACAAAGUGGAGACAGGAGAAUCCACAUAUAGAGGAAGCAGAUGAAGAGGAGACAGAGGGGCAGGAGGCAAUGAAAAGGAGACGGAUGAAGAUAAAACACAUGAAGAGGAGACACAUAGACAAGAGACACAUGGAGAGGGGACAAAUGAAAAGGAGAAGCAUGGAGUGGAGACAUGUAGAUAGGAAACACAUGGAAUGGAGACACAUGAAAAGUAGAAGCAUACAAAGGAAGUACAUGAAGAGGAGAUACAUGCAUGCAGAAGAGACAAAUGUAAAUGCAGAGACAAAUGCAGCACGGUGUGACGUACCCAAAGCAACAUGAUGUCAUUGACUGCACCCACCUGACGCCUGCACCUCCAUUAUAUACUGAUGCAGAUCCUGACCCUGCUGGAUGACUUCAAAUGUCAUAUUGUUCAUGGCCAGCUUGCGUUCCUUGUGCCGCUGUAGUCGCUGCUCGGCCAGGGUCAGGUCCUCCGUGUUGAAGUCAUUCAUCUGUCGCAACAGGUCCUCAUUCCAGGCAUCCAGCUCAGCCGUCACCUGUGGUUAUAACAAGAGAGACAGUUCACAUGAGCACCAGAAUCAUAAAUUGGACCACUUUACAAAGGCAUCUCCUGCCAGCAGUGCUGUAAGUGAAUCUUUCAAACAAAACUUUGGAUCCUGCAGAAUGUCUGCCAUGAAGCAAGAUAGGGCAGCUGUAUUUUGUUUUUUUUUUAAACAUGUCCUACAAUUACUUAAAUAAAUCUUAAACAAUCCCUUUA